UAUUUAUUUAUUUAUGUAUUUUUUGAAAGGGAAAAAUGCAGAGUUCCCAGGUCCUUUUAACUUUGCAGUUGUUUCAUCAGUGGCAUUUUGUUUUCUCUGUAUCUUCUGUCUUUAGGAAACUAAUGACCAUAGCGUUUAAUGAUAUGAACCCCUUCCCUAUGAAGCUGCUGAAGAACAGACGAGAGUUUCACAUGGAGAGGCUGACAGCCGAGCUGCAGGAGCUGGAGAGGAUACAGGAGGAGUUUGUGAAAGAACAACAAGUGGAGCGCAAAGACAAGGACCUGGACACUGCUGUCAGCGAAGACGAAGAAGAAACUAAUGACCAUAGCGUUUAAUGAUAUGAACCCCUUCCCUAUGAAGCUGCUGAAGAACAGACGAGAGUUUCACAUGGAGAGGCUGACAGCCGAGCUGCUGGAGCUGGAGAGGAUACAGGAGGAGUUUGUGAAAGAACAACAAGUGGAGCGCAAAGACAAGGACCUGGACACUGCUGUCAGCGAAGACGAAGAAGUAAUACAGACUGCAGUUAGCUUGCAUCACACGUCCUGACGUUAUUGAAAAAUUACACAUCAGUGAUACUAUUUAAACUAAUUUGUUUGCCUUAUUAUUCCCUGCUGUGGAAUAUAGUGGGGCUUACAUAUUGUGUAUGUCACACAUACAACUAACUGUUAUCCUUUGUAUGUUGAUGAUUAUAUAGGUAUGUCAGACUUACAUUUUUACAUGUACAGUUCGGCUCUUAUUUUGUAAUGGCGCGUGAUGUACCGACAUACUUGUUUUAGAGUCAACAAAUUAAGUUUACCAAACCUGUCAAAAUGCAGAAUAUUAAUGGAAAUAGGUGUGUUGGUAAUACACACACACUACAUCUCUGAAUGCUUGACUUCAAAUCCAGUUUAAGUCACACAUGAAAGGAGUAUGGUGGUCCUAAGCCCUCGGCUUCCACAUCACAAAACCAACACACAGUGCAGCACAAUUGGCACAAAGGAUAAACCUGUUUCUUAUCUCAUAAAACAGCCUUUUACUAUAAUUAUCAUCUGUCAGUCUCUGAAUUUCUUCAAUCAGCAGUUCCAGUCCACUCAGAUCAGUUCAGUAAAUUAAUUAUUUUGUAGUUUCCCAAGAAAACAAAAACUCAUUGGAGAUCUUGAAAAUUAAUGUCUUGAAAUGUGAUUAAUUUAGGCCAGGCUAAUCUGAACAUGUACAGAGAUUCCAGUUACUUUUCAGACCGGCAACCAUGUUCCAGAUUUUCUAAACGAGACUAUCUCUGAAAUAAACUUAUUUUUUAUGCAUUGGUUGUUUGUUUAUAUUCCUGUAAAUUGCAUAGUUCAGUUAUUGCUAAGUUAAGAGGAAGACGUUGCUUUGUUUAAUUAUGUUAAAUUGUAUGGCAAUCCUUCAUGAUUUGCAUGAAUUCACUUAGGUUUAGAGGUACAGUUUUAAUUCAUGUACCUCUGAUAAACCUAAACUAAGUGACGAAAGCAAAAACACAAACGUUUUUUACUUGAGCUUGAAAAGGAAAAAAUAGGAUGAAUACAGUGCUAUAUAUACUGUGUGUGUGUGUAUAUUAUAUAUAUAUAUAUAUAUAUUAUUGAUCGCUACAUAUAGAUUUUUCAACGCUGGUAAAAUGUUUAAUUCAGUAAUGAUUUUAAAAAUGUUUAUUUUUUAAUUUUUUAGGGAUGCAAGACAUGUAACAACUUUGUGUCUAAAGUUUUUAAAUGCCAACUGUUAAAUAAAUAGAAUUAUGGAUAGUAGGGAUAGCUUUUGUGACUGGAGCAUGGCUGCAUUGUCUAUUGCGCUGAAUUUUAACCAAUUUUAACAAAUUGUUCCCAUUAUUCUUAUUUUUUAUUUUAGCUUUUCUCUUCAAAUAUUUUUUAGAAAACAAAAAAGCACAAACAAAAUCUCAGCGCGUUUCGUCUUAUUCAUGAGUAGACUUAAUUUGAUACAGAGGAAAACCCCUUUUUUAUACACUCAAUUUUCCACAGGUGAUUAAUCACCUUUUAAGAGAUGGCUCAGUUGACAAACAACUCUUGAGAAGGGAAACUUUUGUGAUAUUUUUUUUAAUUCUGUUCCACCACAUGGCCUUAAUGAAGACUUUAAAUAUGGGUAUUUUUUGUAGAAUGUAUGUUUGUAUGUAUACAGUAUAUACCUCUGUUCAUUAUUCAAGUUGCAGAGUAAAAAGAAAAAAGUAACUUAGUAAAAGAAUAUUUAGUGGUAUGAAAAGUUUUGUGUUGACGUACAGAUUGAGUGUUUAAAAUAAUAUAAAAAGUAUGGUCUUCUGCCUUCUGUUGUCAUUUCUGUACCUAAUUACUUAUUAAUUUCAGUUGUUUUUGAUUGUUCUGAUUGUCAAUUGAAGGUUUGUGACGUAAAGGUGAUUAAUCGCCUGUGGAGAAUUGAGUGUAAAAAAAAAGGGGGUGUUCCUCUGUAUCAAAUUAAGUUUAUUCAUGAUUAAGACUCUGUCGAAACACGUUGAGAUUUUGUUUGUGCUUUUUUGUUUACUAAAAAAUGUGAAGAGAAAAGCUAAAAUAAAAAAUAAGAAUAAUGGAAAAAUGUGGUAAAAUAAAUUAUUUUUGUGAAGAA